UGCUCCCAUAGGACAGGCUGAGGGUUGGGGCUGUGCAGAUGGAGUGUCUUUAAGAUCCAGGAGUGUCCGUGAGGUUCUUCAGCUCCUGCUGCCAACACAAGCCCAGCUCUGCUCCGUCGCAAAGCUUUGCCCUCUCUGUUCCUUGAGCGCGUGCCAAGAGGAGAGUCCUAUUUGUCUUUAGAAACAUUUAAAAGCAGAAGAGGAAGCAAUUAACCAAUAAAUCAUCCGUCUGUUUCCAA